rnacentral:rRNA from 1 species
AUGGCGGAGCUUGGGCUGCGUGAGGAUGAUAUAGAUGAUGUCGUGGUCGAUGAGGGAUCUAUUCCUCAGGAUGAGGCUAGGUGGAUGGCGGUGUCUAGGGUUCAUAUCGAUAAACCCUACAGUCAAGGCUGGUUCUUUAGAAACAUGCGAGCAACUUGGGAUCUUGCGCAGGAAGUGAACUUCAAACCCUUGGAGGAGAAUUUGUAUACAAUUCAGUUUAGUUGCCUGGGCGACUGGGAAAGAGUGAUGCAGGAAGGGACGUAG